rnacentral:tmRNA from 1 species
GGGGGCGAAUUUGGUUUCGACGGGGAUAUGGAAGCAAGAGUAGCGAGUCGUUGUCGCCAAGCAACGUAAAAAGUGGCAAUUAAAAAUAAACGCAAACGAAAAUUACGCUCUUGCAGCUUAAUUAAAGCUGCACGUCCUCCUCGAGUAACCCACGGCUUGAGAUAGGGCGCCAAACUAGUGGGGAACCGAGCCUAGCUUUGCUUCGGGCUAGGAACGGAACUUAUGAAGCUACUGAAACUUGAACCCUGUCAGUGGGGGUCAAGUGGAGGGAAUGUCAAAACACUGACUGCACUCGGAGAAGCUCUUGUGGAAAUAUUUUCGGACGUGGGUUCGACUCCCACCGCCUCCACCA